rnacentral:rRNA from 2 species
GUGAAAUUGAACUCGCUGUGAAGAUGCAGUGUACCCGCGGCAAGACGGAAAGACCCCGUGAACCUUUACUAUAGCUUGACACUGAACAUUGAGCCUUGAUGUGUAGGAUAGGUGGGAGGCUUUGAAGUGUGGACGCCAGUCUGCAUGGAGCCGACCUUGAAAUACCACCCUUUAAUGUUUGAUGUUCUAACGUGGACCCGUAAUCCGGGUUGCGGACAGUGUCUGGUGGGUAGUUUGACUGGGGCGGUCUCCUCCUAAAGAGUAACGGAGGAGCACGAAGGUUGGCUAAUCCUGGUCGGACAUCAGGAGGUUAGUGCAAUGGCAUAAGCCAGCUUGACUGCGAGCGUGACGGCGCGAGCAGGUGCGAAAGCAGGUCAUAGUGAUCCGGUGGUUCUGAAUGGAAGGGCCAUCGCUCAACGGAUAAAAGGUACUCCGGGGAUAACAGGCUGAUACCGCCCAAGAGUUCAUAUCGACGGCGGUGUUUGGCACCUCGAUGUCGGCUCAUCACAUCCUGGGGCUGAAGUAGGUCCCAAGGGUAUGGCUGUUCGCCAUUUAAAGUGGUACGCGAGCUGGGUUUAGAACGUCGUGAGACAGUUCGGUCCCUAUCUGCCGUGGGCGCUGGAGAACUGAGGGGGGCUGCUCCUAGUACGAGAGGACCGGAGUGGACGCAUCACUGGUGUUCGGGUUGUCAUGCCAAUGGCACUGCCCGGUAGCUAAAUGCGGAAGAGAUAAGUGCUGAAAGCAUCUAAGCACGAAACUUGCCCCGA